GAAGUUAACGGUCACGUCUCCCGCGCGUGCAACGUUCAACUUCUUCUUCUUCUUCUUCUUCUUAUUUUUUCGGCGGUUAGUGCACUUCCCGUUGUGCAGUGUGGGGCAGAAAUGGCUUGAGUUUGGAAGAAACAGCAACGCUCUCUGUAAAGGAUAACGACUAACGUAUUGGAGUGUCAAAAUGACCAGACGAAAACCUGGAAAACAAUGGAGAAGGACAGGUAAUGAAGAAGACCCAAGUAAACGACCAAGACGGGCUGCACAAUUGUCAUCCCUCCCUGCAGCCACCAGUGUUCAUGUGGAGACUGAUCAGCAAUAUUUAGGUAAUUUAUGAAAUGUGUUGG